rnacentral:rRNA from 1 species
UGUAAACAUUUUCGACCGGGACGAACACCUCGCAAGAGGGGUGACGGUACCGGUAUAAGAAGCCCCGGCUAACUACGUGCCAGCAGCCGCGGUAAGACGUAGGGGGCCAGCGUUGCUCGGAAUUACUGGGUGUAAAGGGUUCGUAGGCGGUGUGGCAAGUCGGGAGUGAAAUCUCUGGGCUCAACCCAGGGGCUGCUUCCGAAACUGCCGUGCUAGAGUGUGGGAGAGGCGCGUGGAAUUGCAGGUGUAGCGGUGAAAUGCGUAGAUAUCUGCAGGAACACCCGUGGCGAAAGCGGCGCGCUGGACCACUACUGACGCUGAGGCAUGAAAGCUAGGGGAGCAAACAGGAUUAGAUACCCUGGUAGUCCUAGCCCUAAACGAUCAGGACUUGGGGUGCCACCCGUUCGGGUGUCGUCCCGGAGCUAACGCGUUAAGUCCUGCACCUGGGGAGUACGGUCGCAAGACUGAAACUGUA